UCCGAGGCUUACAAAGACAAACUACACAGCAUGGUCUAUGAAAAUGCGGGUCUUUAUGCAAGCCCAUGGCGUGUGGGAGCUAGGCUAUAGAACCUACAGAUCCCAAGACGGUUGUUGAAGACAAGGUUGACAAGAGAGCAUUGGCCAUAAUUUAUCAAGGUAUUGCUGAGGACUUACGUUUGUCGAUUGCAGAGAAAAAGAAUGCCAAGGAAGCGUGGGAAGAGAUCAAAACAGUGACUUGGGUGCAGACAAAGUAAAGAAAGCGAAGGCUCAGACUCUUAAAUCAGAGUUUGAAUCCCGUUUGUGUAAGAAGGUAAGAAGUACUUCUAAGAAGUCGUGAGAAAGAAGUUGGAAGUACAAAAUGCUAGCUUUCUUUACCCACUUCUACUUAUUUUCCAAAAACUUUAACAACUUAUAAGUGUUAAUUUAGUUCUCACUUUUACUCCACUUUUUUAAGCAAGAAGUCACUUCUUUGAAGCUAACCAAAUGGCCCCAUAUAUUCAAAAACUUGCAUGACGAGUGCGGUGGCCGGUUUUCCGCUCAUAGGCCCCUUCCUCUUCUUCUUGGUCUUAUUACCACUAGAGCAUCAACAACAUCUUUUAUCCUGAGAUUAUAACAAACAGAGAUCAGAAGUGUCGC
rnacentral:lncRNA from 1 species